GUUGCUCUUGGGUGGCCGCGGCGCCCGCUCCCUCUGAAUUCGCCGGGCAGGGAUACAGCCGCCCGGGGCCUCUUGCUCGUGCUUGGUUUUCCGGACCUUGCUUCCUAAAGGGUCUUUAGGGGUUCCCGGACUCCUCCGCCUGGGAGCCUCUAUCCGCCUGGGAGCCUCUAUGCGCCCCGCAAAGCCCCCGGCAGAGCCGAGGGGAGGCUUCAUUGGCGACCUGGUGGGGCCUCGCGGCCCUGCUCCCUGACGUCAGCGCCGCCGCGGUGAUUUAACAGCUUUUGUUUUGGGCAGAAGAACCUAUGGGCACAAAAAGCAGGAACGAGUAGCGGUGGCUGAAGAACGAGCAGGAGCUUGAAUUUCAGUUUUCUUAUGAGGAAUUUUCCAGAAAAGAUAUCUUCACUGUGAAAUAACUAAAUAAAUGCCCACUCAGUACAGUCACUGUCUCCCUUUUGGAACUUGAUGGCACCUUAAGCCCAGGUUUGCCUCCACUCUAGAAACUCAUCAGAGUGAUGCCCUUCUCAAAUGGGGGAGGUCCCAAAGCGGAUAUCCUGGCAGUGUGAAAGGCCGGCUAAAGGUUUGUGCCAAGAGGAUCUGUGGAAUGCAUCUCCUACAGCUGGUGCUGCUGAGUAACCACUCUGAUCUGGCAUCUUCUUUGAUCAAGUUACAGAGCAGAGUUUCCAGGGCUGGGGAUUGAAGUCCUGCCUCCUCCCUUUGUCUCUGGUUGUCCUCGGUAAUGUUUUUCCCUCAAGACAAAAAUACCUGCUACAUGCUUCCUUCUGUAUGAAUACAUGAGACCUACCUUCAUUCAUGUUUCCUCUAUGAAGCUUUCCCUGCACUCCAAACACAGAGCUGAGACUUCCACCUAAUGUAGAAAGCUAGCACGAGCCGGCGCUGACAGAUGGAAGACUUGAGAUGUUACAAGAUUAUAUAUGGAAACACAAAAGGAGUGGAGUUGCUGGGUCAUAUGGCAAUUCAUUUGAGGAACUGAGAAGCUUAUUCCAUGGAGGCUGAACUGUUUUAUAUUCCCACCAGCAACGUGUAAGGUUCCAGUUUAUCUACAUCAUCACCAACACUUGCUAUUUUCCAUUUCAUUAAUGAUAGCCAUCCUAGUGGAUUUGAAGUGGUACCUUAUUAUCGUGGUUUUGAUUGCAUUCUCUAUUGACUAAUGAUAUCGAGCAUCUUUUCAUGUAUUUUUUGGUCAUUUGGUCAUUUUUCUUUUUUAAUUUUAAAAUUUUGAGACAGGCUCUCACUAUGUUGCCCAGGUGGUCUCAAACUCCUGGGUUCCAGCGAUGCUCAUGCCUCAGUCUCCCAAAGGGGUGGGAUUACAGGUGUGAGCCACUUUGCCCAGCCCAUUUGUAUAUCUCCUUUGGAGAAUAUCUAGGUUCUUUUGAAGGUAGCUGCAUAUAAACUAGCCAAAUUAACAGACUGUGGUUUUUAGAUGGCUUUCCAUAUCUACAAGAACUAUUUAGUUCUCAAAACUGGGAAGAAAUGUUUCAGAGGCAUCAUUAAUUCAUAAUCUAAAAAUUUAUCUUGGGUUUCCUUUUUUCCCCCAGAUUCUGUAUCCUCCAUAGUCCUAUUCAUGACAUGGGUCGUUCAUCUCUGUAUUCUAAACCCUCAAUGAACUGUAGACAGUAAUAAAUAUUUAUUGGAUGAAUGGUCUCUCAUCAGCCACCUUUUCUUUUUUUUUUUUUGAGACAGAGUCUCACUCUGUCACUCAGGCUGGAGUGCAGUGGCGCGAUCUCGGUUCACUGCAACCUCUGCCUCCCGGGUUCAAGUGAUUCUCCCACCUGAGCCUCCCGAGUAGCUGGGAUUACAGGUGCACGCCACCUUGUCUGGCUAAUUUUUGUAUUUUUAGUAGAGACAGGGUUUCACCGUGUUGGUCAGGCUGGUCUCAAACGCCUGACCUCAGGUGAUCUGCCCGACUUGGCCUCCCAAAGUGCUGGGAUUACAGGUGUGAGCCACCGCACCUGGCCUCCAGCCUCUUUUCUUUUUUUUUUUUGAGACAAGUCUAACUCUGUCACCCAGGCUGGAGAGCAGCGGCAUGAUCAUGGCUCACUGCUGCCUCAACCUCAGAGGCUCAAGUCAUUGUCCCCACCUCAGCCUCCCUAGUAGACUGGACUACAGGCAUGUGCCACCACACCCAGCUAAUUUUUCAUCAGCCACCUUUUCUAACCAUCUGUCUGCACUGACUUCCCAGGUUCUGCAUCAUUAUUGGUUUACUGAGACAAUGCACUUCACCCGUCCUUCAAUCCCAAAGUAGCACAGAAUAUCAGGAGUUCUUUGAGCCCCUAAGUGCCCUACUUUCCCAGGGUCAGGGGACCCUGACAAGCAAGGUCCCCACAUCUUUCUGUGGUUGGAUAGGGAUAUAAAAUUUCUCACACAUGUUAAAUCAAGAUACUUUGGCCAGGCACGGUGGCUCACACCUGUAAUCCCAGCACUUUGGGAGGCUGAGGUGUACAGAUCACUUGAGGUCAGGAGUUUGAGACAAGCCUGGUCAACAUGGUGAAACUCCCAUCUCUACUAAAAAAAAAAAAACUUUGGGAGGCCGAGGUGGGUGGAUCAUGAGGUCAGGAGUUUGAGACCAGCCUGGCCAACAUGGUGAAACCCCGUCUCUACUAAAAAUGCAAAAAUUAGGUGGGUGUGGUGGCACACAGCAGUAGUCCCAGCUACUCAGGAGGCUGAGGCAGGAGAAUUGCUUGAACCUGGGAGGCAGAGGUUACAGUGAGCUGAGAUCAUGCCACCGCACUCCAACCAGGGCAACAGAUCAAGACUC
ensembl:lncRNA CHROMR cholesterol induced regulator of metabolism RNA